GGACGGUUAGCUCAGUUGGUAGAGCAUUGGAUUCCAGACCCAAAGGUCGUCAGUUCGAGUCUGGCACUGUUCA